AUACAUGCAAGUCGAACGCGUUGGCCCAAUUGAUUGAUGGUGCUUGCACCUGAUUGAUUUUGGUCGCCAACGAGUGGCGGACGGGUGAGUAACACGUAGGUAACCUGCCCAGAAGCGGGGGACAACAUUUGGAAACAGAUGCUAAUACCGCAUAACAACGUUGUUCGCAUGAACAACGCUUAAAAGAUGGCUUCUCGCUAUCACUUCUGGAUGGACCUGCGGUGCAUUAGCUUGUUGGUGGGGUAAUGGCCUACCAAGGCGAUGAUGCAUAGCCGAGUUGAGAGACUGAUCGGCCACAAUGGGACUGAGACACGGCCCAUACUCCUACGGGAGGCAGCAGUAGGGAAUCUUCCACAAUGGGCGCAAGCCUGAUGGAGCAACACCGCGUGAGUGAAGAAGGGUUUCGGCUCGUAAAGCUCUGUUGUUAAAGAAGAACACGUAUGAGAGUAACUGUUCAUACGUUGACGGUAUUUAACCAGAAAGUCACGGCUAACUACGUGCCAGCAGCCGCGGUAAUACGUAGGUGGCAAGCGUUAUCCGGAUUUAUUGGGCGUAAAGAGAGUGCAGGCGGUUUUCUAAGUCUGAUGUGAAAGCCUUCGGCUUAACCGGAGAAGUGCAUCGGAAACUGGAUAACUUGAGUGCAGAAGAGGGUAGUGGAACUCCAUGUGUAGCGGUGGAAUGCGUAGAUAUAUGGAAGAACACCAGUGGCGAAGGCGGCUACCUGGUCUGCAACUGACGCUGAGACUCGAAAGCAUGGGUAGCGAACAGGAUUAGAUACCCUGGUAGUCCAUGCCGUAAACGAUGAGUGCUAGGUGUUGGAGGGUUUCCGCCCUUCAGUGCCGGAGCUAACGCAUUAAGCACUCCGCCUGGGGAGUACGACCGCAAGGUUGAAACUCAAAGGAAUUGACGGGGGCCCGCACAAGCGGUGGAGCAUGUGGUUUAAUUCGAAGC
rnacentral:rRNA from 1 species